rnacentral:rRNA from 1 species
GAUUUCUGGUUGGACGAACCUGAUCGACUCCGUAAGGCAGUUUGUGUCGGGCCUCGUCCGCCAUCCUUGCAGGGAACUUUGCUACCCUUCAUUGGGCCGGCAAAGCGAACUGCAUCUUUUACUUUGAAAAAAUUAGAGUGUUUAAAGCAGGCUUACGCUAUGAAUACAUUAGCAUGGAAUAAUAACUUAGGACUUCAGUUCUAUUUUAUUGGUUUCUAGAGCAGAAGUAAUGAUUGAUAGGGAUAGUUGGGGGUGCUAGUAUUCAGAGGCCAGAGGUGAAAUUCUUGGAUUCUCUGAAGACUAACUUAUGCGAAAGCAUU